ensembl:lncRNA
AGUCUAUGCGGAAGUCAUGGAAAUCACGGAAAAGUUUUGAACCGUGGAGUAGGGGGCAGAUGAGAUGCUGGAGGUGGAGCAGCCCCCUGGUAACCAUGAGGAACCGUUAUAGGUCAAAACCACAAACUGAGGAUAUUCUUGAUGAUAGCAUAGGGAUCCUGGUUCUCUGACAGCCUUGUGGCGCCACUACACCACCCUGCAUAAUUUACUACAUGUUCUUCAUUUGGUUACUGCUCUCAGUGGCAAACUGAUGAAACACCCUACCAGGAAAUCUAUCCAAGAAUGAGCUCCUUGAGGGGUGGGGAGAGUUCCAGCCUGGAGCUUCUUCAGCACAACACCAUCUGGCUAUUUCCUUGAAAACUGAGUAUCCUCCUUGACCUUUGCUGAGUACAUCAAGUGAAGGACUGACUUACAGAAACGCUGACUGGAGGACCUACUUUCCAGAGGGACGACUUGUUGAUUUAACAGCCCACAAGGAGCCAGAUGAACUGACAAAUGGGAUAACCUUGUACACAAAGACUGACUCUCGGGAAAACGACUAAGGUAGAGGAAGUCUUAGCUGUUCUAUAACCAGUUCAUCAGGCGGCCUGAAAGUUCCCAAGCCUCACCAACGCCC